AGUUUUAUCCCGCAGACCUCACUUGGUGUAUUGUACACAGUACUAGAGACCGUAUCUUCAGAAGGAUAUUGAUACCUUAGAGAGGGUUUAGUAGCCCUUCUCUGAACCCUCUCUAAGGUAUCAAUAUCCUUCUGAAGAUACGGUCUCUAGUACUGUGUACAAUACUCCAAGUGAGGUCUCACCAGUGUUC